ACGAACGCUGGCGGCGUGGAUAAGACAUGCAAGUCGAACGAGAGAAUUGCUAGCUUGCUAAUAAUUCUCUAGUGGCGCACGGGUGAGUAACACGUGAGUAACCUGCCCCCGAGAGCGGGAUAGCCCUGGGAAACUGGGAUUAAUACCGCAUAGUAUCGAAAGAUUAAAGCAGCAAUGCGCUUGGGGAUGGGCUCGCGGCCUAUUAGUUAGUUGGUGAGGUAACGGCUCACCAAGGCGAUGACGGGUAGCCGGUCUGAGAGGAUGUCCGGCCACACUGGAACUGAGACACGGUCCAGACACCUACGGGUGGCAGCAGUCGAGAAUCAUUCACAAUGGGGGAAACCCUGAUGGUGCGACGCCGCGUGGGGGAAUGAAGGUCUUCGGAUUGUAAACCCCUGUCAUGUGGGAGCAAAUUAAAAAGAUAGUACCACAAGAGGAAGAGACGGCUAACUCUGUGCCAGCAGCCGCGGUAAUACAGAGGUCUCAAGCGUUGUUCGGAAUCACUGGGCGUAAAGCGUGCGUAGGCUGUUUCGUAAGUCGUGUGUGAAAGGCGCGGGCUCAACCCGCGGACGGCACAUGAUACUGCGAGACUAGAGUAAUGGAGGGGGAACCGGAAUUCUCGGUGUAGCAGUGAAAUGCGUAGAUAUCGAGAGGAACACUCGUGGCGAAGGCGGGUUCCUGGGCAUUAACUGACGCUGAGGCACGAAGGCCAGGGGAGCGAAAGGGAUUAGAUACCCCUGUAGUCCUGGCAGUAAACGGUGCACGCUUGGUGUGCGGGGAAUCGACCCCCUGCGUGCCGGAGCUAACGCGUUAAGCGUGCCGCCUGGGGAGUACGGUCGCAAGAUUAAAACUCAAAGAAAUUGACGGGGACCCGCACAAGCGGUGGAGUAUGUGGCUUAAUUCGAUGCAACGCGAAGAACCUUACCUGGGCUUGACAUGUAAUGAACAACAUGUGAAAGCAUGCGACUCUUCGGAGGCGUUACACAGGUGCUGCAUGGCCGUCGUCAGCUCGUGUCGUGAGAUGUUUGGUUAAGUCCAGCAACGAGCGCAACCCCUGUUGCCAGUUACCAGCACGUGAAGGUGGGGACUCUGGCGAGACUGCCCAGAUCAACUGGGAGGAAGGUGGGGACGACGUCAGGUCAGUAUGGCCCUUAUGCCCAGGGCUGCACACGUACUACAAUGCCCAGUACAGAGGGGGCCGAAGCCGCGAGGCGGAGGAAAUCCUGAAAACUGGGCCCAGUUCGGACUGUAGGCUGCAACCCGCCUACACGAAGCCGGAAUCGCUAGUAAUGGCGCAUCAGCUACGGCGCCGUGAAUACGUUCCCGGGUCUUGUACACACCGCCCGUCACAUCAUGGAAGCCGGUCGCACCCGAAGUAUCUGAAGCCAACCGCAAGGAGGCAGGGUCCUAAGGUGAGACUGGUAACUGGGAUG
rnacentral:rRNA from 1 species